rnacentral:misc_RNA from 1 species
AACGCACAUUGCGCCCCGUGGCAUUCCGCGGGGCAUGCCUGUUCGAGCGUCAUUUCAACCCUCAAGCUCUGCUUGGUGUUGGGCCCUGCCCCCGCGGCCGGCCCCAAAGACAGUGGCGGCGCCGCCCGGCUCUAAGCGCAGUACAAUCUCUCGCUCUAGCGCCUGGCGGUGGCCAGCUAGAACCCCCAACUCCUGUGGUUGACCUCGGAUCAGGUAGGGAUACCCGCUGAACUUAA